rnacentral:rRNA from 1 species
AACGAACGCUGGCGGCAGGCUUAACACAUGCAAGUCGAGCGAGACCUUCGGGUUUAGCGGCGGACGGGUGAGUAACGCGUGGGAACGUGCCCUUUACUACGGAAUAGCCCAGGGAAACUUGGAUUAAUACCGUAUACGCCCUUCGGGGAAAGAUUUAUCGGCAAAGGAUUGGCCCGCGUUGGAUUAGGUAGUUGGUGGGGUAAAGGCCUACCAAGCCGACGAUCCAUAGCUGGUUUGAGAGGAUGAUCAGCCACACUGGGACUGAGACACGGCCCAGACUCCUACGGGAGGCAGCAGUGGGGAAUCUUAGACAAUGGGGGCAACCCUGAUCUAGCCAUGCCGCGUGAGUGAUGAAGGCCCUAGGGUUGUAAAGCUCUUUCAGCUGGGAAGAUAAUGACGGUACCAGCAGAAGAAGCCCCGGCUAACUCCGUGCCAGCAGCCGCCGUAAAC